rnacentral:rRNA from 1 species
GCAGAUCACAGAAGAGACGUUUCCCGCCCCGAGUAAACCUCGACCCCUGACCCAGCAUCUCUCUUCCUCGCGGUAGCUGCUCCGGGGUACCUCAAGCACUACGUCAGUUAUUUAGGUGAAAGGACCUCCUCCAUCCUAUCUCGAAACACGGCGGGGACACGGCCGUCGCCACUGCUCCCCGCUAUACCACCGCCUCGUCCUCCACCACCUCGUCCUUGCCCGCCACCUGUCGUAGCUUCGAGACUAGAACCGCCGGUUCCAUCGUCAUCGCCGCUUGUCCUCUCCCUCGAAAAGGGGCUGCAGCUCGGCAGUUGACCCUUCUACUUAGGGGCCCGCGGACCUACCUUAUUCUCCGACUACGUCUCCUCCCUAAAAAAAAAGUUCAAAACCCCUAAGAGAGACGAACUCCUCCAUCCCCUCUCAAACCACGGCCGGGAACACCGACACUUACCGGAACGCCACCACCUAAACCUCCACGGUGUCGUCCGCCUCGUGUUCCGCCGUGUUGUAACCGGUCACCUGUCGUCACUUCUUGUCUAGAAGAGCUGCUUCCUCCGUCACCGGCUGUCUUCCCUCUCGAGCGCAGGUUGAAACCUCGACAGUUACCCCUUCUACUUAGGGGUUCGCGGCCCCACCUUACUCACCAAUCACUUCUCGUUGAACGUAGCGUAGUCUCUUAGUUCCUAAAUCCCUUUAUCUUGAUCAGUACUGAAUGCUUUAGGAUGUUAAUCUCGUUCACGACUAACGAGAGACGUAAGUAUUUUAAGUACGAUUUACACGGACACAAACGAUCGACACUGCCACCACGUUUCACCGUACACGACUUCUUUCGUUUCCUGAGUAACUCUCGAGACAUGUGAUUUUUCACACUCAUGUCUCGUCUUAGAGUAUUUCACCAUUAGGUGUACGAUUAUCAUCUACUUAAACUCUCUCCCACCCUCUACAACGACCUAUUUAUGUUUCGAGUCCAGUGUGGGAAUGUACUACGUCAACAAGCUCUAAUCCGUCUUUACCAUAUUCGGAAUGAAAUUCCCGCACAAGUCGCGGCCUCUAGAGUCCGAUACGACCAAAAUCAAAACCAGACGUCGAACAAGUCGCGGCCUCUAACUAGACCCGCUGCUGUAUCGGCCCCCGCUUCUUUACCUCAAGGACUACGUUGGUUAAACAUCCGAAGGGAAACGCGGAAUGUGCGAGCCAAGAAAAUGCCUCAAAACAACCUUUAAACACAGUACUAAGCUAUAACUCGAUUGCCCGUCUAGUCACGUCCCCUCCUCCACGGACAGUAACUUCGUGUCCCACUUCGCGUUCGUAGGCUCGUCAGACAACCAGUUUGACUGGGUUUUUGAGAUCCUACCUGUUCUUCCAUUAGAGAACCAGUACGCACUAACCUAUGGGCUACAGUUCGGCAUGCACCUUCACGAGCUUAACGUACAAGUAUUAACCGAAUGUCGAAUGACCUACUGUUAAAUCAAUUGCUUGGAGACCUUUUCCUUUUAGACACACGUGUCCCAAACCUAGGACUAACUUACAAUUCAUCCUACACCGUCAUAUUUUUAAACAUCUAUAUACAGUUUAGUCCAACGUACUUAACCCUUUACACUAAACUCUCGUUGUGCCCAAGAUCGAACCCAGAUACUAUCACCUUACAUAAUGUAACCGAUCUCAUACUAAAAAAAUCAAUUUAACCUUGAAUGCCAUAUUCUAUUCUAUGUUCUAUUCGAAACACUAAAGUCCCUACUCACACAUAUUUCGAACAUGGAAAAUACCUAAGUGCUUGUUAACGAACGUAGUCUACCUUAGUAACCCUUCUUGACUUAGUUAUCUUUCUUGUGUUGUCACGGAAACCCACUCAUACCUAACUACUGGUCACGAAUUUGUAAUUGAGAAGAGACCUCCCACUCCUAACCACGACGACGAGGACCGUCCUGCGGCACAGGUCUAACGUGCUCGCGAGAGCUCUUCCUUUAGACGUCGAAGUGUCUCUUGGGUCCUCUGUAACACUAACACGUACGCAACCCCAUGUUCGAAACUAUGUAACCCGCUCCGAAUGCUGAACAUGUUCGACAUGAGCACCCUCUUCCCUAGGCCAUAGUCUAUGCUUUACUCGUUUACACCUCUCCUGUUUCACGUACGUUCUUUGGAGAACACCGACACGCCCACCCGCACACUGUUCACACACGGAAUGACGCGCGGUUCUUGGCACUGCUUGGUGAUGCUUAAAGCUUACCGUUCUCGCCCUCUUUCACUACGACAAAUUGUCUUGGUCGUCGUCGUCUCGGUGAAGACUUGACACACAGGGGUAAACUAUGUGACGAAGGACUUCCAUCUUCUUCCGACUUCUUUCCUCGCGUCGUUGACCAUUACCGAGGAAGGCACGAUAAGCAGAGACUUAGACGGUAAUGAUUUCUCCGUUAUUGAGCCUACGUCGAAGGUUCGGCGUUUAUCAUAAACUUCUCCAUUUAGAUAAGUAUAUCUUUACAACUAGAUUCAACCUAAACACCGUUGUAAGUUAAUUGCCCCAUCGACCACACGUACCAAGAAUACCUAGACUUUCGUGCUAAUUGGUCCAGCACGCCAAUCAGUGCUCCUCGCUUCCAGGUUGUCGCUCCGCGUUAUUUACCCAAUAGACGGCGGCACUCAGGUCUUAGAGAUUAAAGUGCCGCGCGAUGCAACCCUGUACAGACUCAGCCUCUUGUACACCGAUUGUUGCAUUACGCGAUAAGCAACAAGUCUUCACCCGGUCACCCUGGCAAGUUUUUCACUAUAUGGCCUCAUUAUGGAUUCGGACAUGAACAGUCCCACGCUUAGAGCUACUCUUAUCUGCCCCGUCUAUAUCUCAGGUAGACUCGAGCUCGAAUCUUAUUGUGAAAACGAUGUUAACGAGAAAAUAUAAGAAAGUGAAAGAACGGCGAAACGGAAUAGCGAUAAACGAAAAUAAGAACAUAGAUCGCGUUCCCCUAACGUCGGGAGAACGGAACAACCCACGUUCGUUAAACAAAUAAACCCACGUCCACGACGAUUGUAACGAUCGAACCAAGGAGGAUCACCAAGCUAUUUGGAACCAUCAAUUAAUUCCCUUUAUGGAAAACGAUACCACGAUGUAGAGGGAAAGAGAAACCUUUUUAGGUUGAUGAGGUAGUACUCAUCAUCUUCUUAAAAACCGCGGCAACGGUCUCCCCAAUGGUAGAUGGUUUAGUCCACGGAAGCGUGUUUGUGGGAUACAAAAGAACAAAAAUAAAAGAACAGAUCAACGGAAAAGGAAAAUUAAACGGAAGAAAAACCAAACGCUUUUUUUAAGGUUUUAUUAUUUGUUUUAGAACUCAACGAUAGAGACGAACACAGCGGUGAUACAGAUGAGAACUUCUUCAACUACAACUUUCACGAUCACUUCUAUUAGGAUCGCUUUUAGUACUCCUUCGUGAAUUCUAUGGAUUGAAAUUAUUACUAGGAGUACUAUUACUUGGAGGAAACU